rnacentral:rRNA from 1 species
AUUGAACGCUGGCGGAAUGCUUUACACAUGCAAGUCGAACGGCAGCACGGGAGCUUGCUCCUGGUGGCGAGUGGCGAACGGGUGAGUAAUAUAUCGGAACGUAUCCAAUAAUGGGGGAUAACUAGUCGAAAGAUUAGCUAAUACCGCAUACGCCCUGAGGGGGAAAGCUGGGGAUCUUCGGACCUAGCGUUAAUGGAGCGGCCGAUAUCUGAUUAGCUAGUAGGUGAGGUAAGAGCUCACCUAGGCGACGAUCAGUAGCUGGUCUGAGAGGACGACCAGCCACACUGGAACUGAGACACGGUCCAGACUCCUACGGGAGGCAGCAGUGGGGAAUUUUGGACAAUGGGCGCAAGCCUGAUCCAGCCAUUCCGCGUGAGUGAAGAAGGCCUCGGUGUAAG